AUACAAAUAUGUGUAUUUUAUUGCAGUAAAAGCUAACAGUAUUAUGAUAUUUACAGUUAAAAUGCCAUGCAGAUGUUGGAAAAUAAAACCAUUUCUCAAAUUCUCACACUUUAUUUAGAUUUAAUUCCUAUUACAUUAUGGUUCAUACAUACAUAUUUGAUGUGAAAUUAAAGCCAAAUUUUUCCUGAACAAAAUGAUAUAUAAUAAGUGCGACUGCACUUAAAAUAAGAGAGGUAAAUUAUGGGUGAACAGACAUAUAGCUCAAAUUCUAGGUUUUGAUUUGUUUCAGAACUUGGGCAAUUUCCUCCAUCCUUAAGAGGUUAAAGGAGGAAUGUAUCAUAUUUUAGUAUUUUAAUACUGCUAAUUUAGGUAUCUUCUGGGAUUCAGUGAUUUGAAGCACUCCACUAUUUAAACUGAUUUAGGAUGUUUAAGAUGUGCAUAAGAAAGGUAAACGUAUAGUGUUUUAAAGCUGCAGACAAAAUCUUUUUUAUAUAUUUUCAAUAUUUGUCACUUUGGAAAUGCCUGGGAUUGUAACUCUUGUUUUCGGAUUGCUUCAUUAUGUUGGUUACUUCUCAGCUUCAAUUACAGCAACCCAUUAUGGAGAGCUGUGGGUGAUCUGCCAAUACAAAUAUAUUAAAAGAAAAACCUCCCAAUAAUCUCAAGUGGUUUAGGACAGGUGUGCAUGUGUAAUUGAUAAAUAUGUGCAUGGAUAAUAUCAGUAGCUACAUGUUAUGGAAUUCUAAAAUAUGAUCUGCCUGUUGAAAUAAGGAGUAGGUCAGUUAAUAUACACAAUGGGGUGCUGUGGAUAGAUGUAGCUCUGGUGGUUCUGCAAAAAGGUUUCUUCCAACUUCUUUUUGUCGUCUUCCCCCUUCCAUGUCCUUGUACGGUCCUUGUACAUCCAAAAUGUUUCUCACUUUAAUUUUCCUCCUUUCUUUAUUUACAAUGUUCCAUUAGUGUGUGAACAAACUUAUCACUGUUGAAUAAAGAAAAACAAUGUCUCUCCUUUGGAACUGAUCAUAAAUAGAGCAGAGGUAAAAUAUUUUUCCAGGAUAAGGACUAGCAAAUUACAUAUUUAAAUAUAUAUAGAUUCAGUAAAUUUGCAGCCCACCACACACACACCUUGCACUACUUCCAAACUAUGGAUAAUUUAGGAUCCAGGCAAUCCAACACAUUAGAUAACCAAGCUCCCUUAGUCUCCCUGGUAUGAGAGUUAAAGGUUUACUUCAACCCCUUUGUUAUACAUCUCAUUUUCACUUUUCAAUGCUCUGUUGGGCAUUAGCAAUUAGAUCCCCCCCUGUAAACUAAGCAUAAACUUACCUGGAAUGCAGAGCCGGGUGAAGACUCUGCAAUGGUUUCCAAACUACUGUCAAUGUCACCGCCUCUCUCGCGAGGUCCAAUCAAAUGCUUCUCACAGAGAAGCAUUUGGUUGGACUCUUCUCCUUGGCCAAGAGUACAUGUGCACACUCUGAGACAAGAAGGUGAGGGAGAAAGAGGCGGUGGGAUUUAAAGCAAAAAUGAAAAAACAGUCAAACACUAAACAGAGAGGAGGGACACUAAAACUUUCAGUUGUAAGCGCUAUGCAUGUAAUUUUUGCACAUGAUUGAUUUAAGACAGCCUGAAACAGAGUACUGAGCUACGGGUGCCGGGGGUUUAACUAGUCCUCCGCAGAAAAGGGCAGAUAUCUCUGGAUGUGCAGUGUUUUAAGUAGAAACGCUGCACAUACAGACUCCUACCACCAUGACCACUUCUAAAUGCAGAAGUGGCUAUGGUGGCUGGAGUCAUCCUUUAGUCUUGCAAUAUAAUUUAGCAGGGAGGGAUAGUUUAUACUUUGUGAAUGAAGUAUAGCUGAUAGUGCCUAUAUCAUUCCUUCUACAACCAAGAUCACUAAUGGCCUCUUUAAUGACACUGUUAGAUUAAACAUUGAAAAUCGCUGCUAAAUUAUGUUAAUCUUCUUUUCUGUCUACGCUGACUGACAGGUGCAAACAGCAGAGUUUAGAGCAAUUAUAUAUCAGAUUGAGGGGCUGUGUUCCCAGAUAAAAGUAAAUACACCUUCCGACAGCACUUACCUUCUGUUAUUUUAUUCUAAUCUGUACUCACUUACUCUGCUACUGUUAAGAAUAAAUUGUCUUGCCAGGCACAUUUGUUAUUAUCAAUCUAUGUGUUUUAGUAUUGCCGGUGUGUUAGGCUCAUACAGCUGACCUUUGCUUAACAUGUUUUAUUAAUUAUCUACUAUAGGUGGAACUGAUAACUCCCUAACCAUAGCUAGGUAUUAAUUUACUAUCCACCAUGUGCAUUUCAAUACAAAUCUGGCUUACUAUCUUUACCCACUACCACUGUAUUACUGGGAGCUUCGAUGUGUCCUCUUAGCCUAUAUACUAUAACUGUAAAAUGAGGCAGCCAUGUCUUGGAGGAUAUAUCAAUGUAUGUUUCAUUACAAAUUGGAUGUAUGACGAUUUAAUAUGUAUCCCCAUCUUCUUUUCUGUACCCAACUUACCUAUGCCUCAAUAAAAGAAAGAUUUACAAAAAAAGUAAAUACAGGUGUGUGAUUUUCUAUAAUUUUUUUUCUCUCAAUUUCAGGGCUUACAAAC